CUCAAUUUAAAAUCUAGUGCUGAGGAUGUAACUCAGUGGUGCUGUGCCUCUGAGUUUAAUCCCCAGUUCCUUAGCAGACUUUCUUCUGACUUCCCGCUCCUCUUCAGCUGGAGCUUUCUUGCACCUGCACCUCAGAACCCUGAGGUGAUGCUGAACCCCUGAGGUGGGCCUCUCUGUUCCCUCUCCCAGGAAACCAGCCGUCCCACCAGCAGGCCUCGCCCCUGGGAGGAAGCAGAAGGGCAGGGAAAGUCCAAUGGUGGUUGGAGUUGGUCUAUGUUUGCUUUGCAUCUCUCUCGUCUGCACAGGCCUCCGCUUGCGGUUGAGCACGGCGCAUUUUAUCUCAAUAGUUCACAGGCUGCACCUUCCCUCGGACAUUGCUCAAGUUGUUUGCUCCCAGUCAGUCUGGAGAAGAAGCCUUUCCUCUUCUUUGGGGACUGUGUUGGGGUAGAAAGUACUAGUUUGGGAAUGGUGUGGAGCUGAGAGUGGGGGAUCAUGGGCAUUCCCUGUGGGAGCCCCAAAGGAGCCGGGCAGAGGCUGCAGUCAGGUGGGGUGAACCCUCAAGGAACAGGGGAGGGGAAGUCUUGACAGGGAAAUCCCUUUUGGCCACAGUUUACAAACCCAAUAUCAUGUCUGUUUGUGUGUCUCUCAAGGUGAGAGUCUGAUUUUUAUACCAAAGAGGAAAUGAUUUUUUUUUCAUAUUUGAUUGGUCUAUAUUAUAUAAAUAUAUAAAUAUAUAUAUAUAUAUACAGUUAUAUAUAUUAUUUUUUUGGUUCUCUCUCGUUUUUAGGGAGGGAAGAAAGUACCAAGUUGCAUUGAGCUGUAAUUAAGGAACAUUCUGUAUAAUUUAUGACACAUUUCUAUACUUGCAGAAAUUAUAUCAUUUUAUGAAUAUAAAAGAAAAAAAAACUUUUUAUNAAAUUAUGGCUCUCGG
rnacentral:lncRNA from 1 species